CCCCCCCCCCCCCCCCCCAGGUUAAACACAGCCCUGAUAUUAUUCAUGUUGUCUUGUAUUUUCUGUUAUGGAUUGCACCAGUAGAAGCUAAACCAAUUCCGUUGUAUACAUGAUGUACAAUGGCAAUAAAGGCUAUUAUUAUUAUUAUGUGGCCCUCAAUGAAAUCGAGUUUGACACCCCUGUGAUAAUAAGGCCUCCUCUCACUGCUCUGCUUUUGGAGCAGGUGGCUUGGCGGCCCGGCUGGGAAGGGGGGAGAGGGGAACCGGGCAGCUCCAUUCAGGCAAGAGCGAAAACUUUGGAGCACUGCUUAUGAGAGCAUGGUUGGCAUCCACCCUGGCCCGGUUACAAAUAGCCAUGGGCCACCUGUGCCCAAGUGGCAUGUAAAAAUGGUAAAAGAAUCCCUUACUCCGCUAGUCAUUGCCGACUUUAUGGGAUGGUGCUCAUCUCAGUUUCAAGGCCACUGAGUCAGUGCUAUCUGAAGAUACUUAUGUGGGUCAUGUGGCCAACAUGAUGUCACAGAGCACUGAAGUGGUACCUAUUUAUCUACUUGCAUUUGCAUGUUUUCAGGCUGCUAGGUUGGCAGGAGCUGGGGCAAGGACGGGAGCUCACCCCAUCACGUGGCGCUCUGGUCUCGAACUGGCCAGCCCAGCAUCUUAACCGCUGAGCUGCCCCUCUAGUGGCAGGACUGAACCGAAUUAUGAUGAAGCAGCUGUUCUAAAAACAUGCAGUCCGUUUGUUGACGAUAUUGCAUCUAUUUUGGGUUUGCAGCUGCUAAAAAUAUUUUUACACCCAUUUAUGGAUGGAUGUAAUACUUCUCCAUUCAUGAGCCACCAGGGGGCAGACCCGGCCAUCAAAGCAACUUAUUUUGCCUGUCUUCUCCCAGACACAAUUUUCAUUUGUUCCCAUUUGUAGUUCAGCUUCUGCUUCUGAAAAGCCACAGUCCGUACAUGAUUUUGGAAAUGCUUUAAAAUAGAGAGGGAAGAAUCUA